rnacentral:rRNA from 1 species
GUGUCAGCCGCCGCGGUAAGACGGAGGAGGCAAGCGUUGUCCGGAAUCAUUGGGCGUAAAGAGCGCGUAGGCGGUUUUUCAAGUCGUAUGUGAAAACUUCAGGCUUAACCUGAUGAUUGCAUAUGAAACUGGAUAACUUGAGUACAGCAGAGGAAAGUGGAAUUCCUGGUGUAGCGGUGAAAUGUGCAGAUAUCAGGAAGAACACCAGUAGCGAAGGCGGCUUUCUGGGCUGUUACUGACGCUGAGGCGCGAAAGCUAGGGGAGCGAACAGGAUUAGAUACCCUGGUAGUCCUAGCCGUAAACGAUGGACACUAGGCGUGGGAAGUUAUCGACGCUUUCUGUGCCGAAGCUAACGCAUUAAGUGUCCCGCCUGGGGAGUACGGCCGCAAGGCUAAAACUCAAAUGAAUUGACGGGG